rnacentral:rRNA from 2 species
UACGAGGGGUCCUAGCGUUGUUCGGAAUCAUUGGGCGUAAAGCGUCUGUAGGCGGCUUUGUAAGUCGGGUGUGAAAGCCCCAGGCUCAACCUGGGAAGUGCAUUCGAUACUGCAUAGCUUGAGUGUUGGAGAGGAUAGUAGAAUUCCAGGUGUAGUGGUGAAAUACGUAGAUAUCUGGAGGAAUACCGGUGGCGAAGGCGGCUAUCUGGCCAAACACUGACGCUGAGAGACGAAAGCAUGGGGAUCAAACAGG